rnacentral:lncRNA from 1 species
UAAAAUCGGCCAGUGCAUCGAUCUAUCUUUGUCCCAAAUGGAAAGGAACGAGCCAUUAGUGAUGGCAGCCUCUUACUUCUAGUCCGAUGCUCUCAAUGCAUUCCUUUUUGGACACGGACCCAUGACCCCCACCUUGACCGAUGUAGUCUUGCUGACCGGCCUGGACAUUUCCUCCCCGGACACCCCUUUUCGCCUUUUGGCCACGACAUCUCAUCGGCUGGACACAAGGGGAAUCGGCG